rnacentral:rRNA from 1 species
GACGAACGCUGGCGGCGUGCUUAACACAUGCAAGUCGAACGAAGCAUUUACGAUAGAUUUCUUCGGAUUGAAGUUGUUUAUGACUGAGUGGCGGACGGGUGAGUAACGCGUGGGUAACCUGCCUUGUACUGGGGGAUAGCAGCUGGAAACGGCUGGUAAUACCGCAUAAGCGCACGGUGCUGCAUGGCACAGUGUGAAAAACUCCGGUGGUAUAAGAUGGACCCGCGUCUGAUUAGCUAGUUGGUGAGAUAACAGCCCACCAAGGCGACGAUCAGUAGCCGACCUGAGAGGGUGACCGGCCACAUUGGGACUGAGACACGGCCCAGACUCCUACGGGAGACAGCAGUGGGGAAUAUUGCACAAUGGAGGAAACUCUGAUGCAGCGACGCCGCGUGAGUGAAGAAGUAAUUCGUUAUGUAAAGCUCUAUCAGCAGGGAAGAUAGUGACGGUACCUGACUAAGAAGCUCCGGCUAAAUACGUGCCAGCAGCCGCAGUAA